UUUCCGUAGGUGAACCUGCGGAAGGAUCAUUAAUGAAUUUGAAAUCGGAGGUUUGUUGCUGGCGUGGAAACACGUAUGUGCACGGCCUUCGUGCUCAUCCACUCACCCUUGUGCACCUUAUCGAAGUUAGUAAUACUUUUCUAUCGGGCUGUAAUUGGGCUGCUGGUAUUAUUAGUCGCAGGGCGAAAAUGCUAGUGCUCUUGGUCUGAGGGGAAGGGACGAACACUUUGACUUUAUAAACACAUACUUUGUCUUGUAGAAUGUAAUGCUCCUUGUGGGCGAAAUGAAAUACAACUUUCAACAACGGAUCUCUUGGCUCUC
rnacentral:misc_RNA from 1 species